AGAAUAUCGACGAGACUUGCAGAGUUUGGUAGUGUGUGUGUGUAGCAGAUGUGGCUGUUGUGGCUUUCUGGUACGACGGUUUCCGGCGAACGACGAAUCUUCUCACCGCGGAGCCACGUUCUCUUGAUUCUUCAAAAGCUGGCAUACGAGGGGUGGCCGCGAGUUACGACGAGCAGUAGUAAACACACAUAGCCGGGAAUAGUGGCAAGAUAACAAAUAAAAGAAGCAACACACACUGACAAGGACAACUUUUCAUCCUCGGCCAUCCUGUCAGUCUAGCAUUUGGAACUGACCCAAAGUCAUUGUGACUGGGAUAAGUUGGACAACAAAAGCACUACUUAACUGUUCUGUUUACUUGUAACAUUAAAGCAAUCCUCCCUG